rnacentral:rRNA from 1 species
UACGUAGGGGGCAAGCGUUGUCCGGAAUCAUUGGGCGUAAAGCGCGUGUAGGCGGCUCGAUAAGUCCGCUCUGAAAGCCCGGGGCUCAACCCCGGGAGGCGGGUGGAUACUGUCGAGCUCGAGUCCGGAAGAGGAGUGUGGAAUUCCUGGUGUAGCGGUGAAAUGCGCAGAUAUCAGGAGGAACACCAAUGGCGAAGGCAGCACUCUGGGACGCGACUGACGCUGAGACGCGAAAGCGUGGGGAGCAAACAGG